ensembl:snoRNA SNORA70 Small nucleolar RNA SNORA70
CAGUUCAAGUAAGAAAACUAGUAAAGCCCAGUGUGCUUCGGCUGCAAAGAGCAGCCUCCUGGGCAGUGGAGGCACCAGGUGCUUGUCUGGGCUGCCCGAGGGGACCUGGGAGACGGUC